GAUGAACGCUGGCUACAGGCUUAACACAUGCAAGUCGAGGGGAAACGACGGGGAAGCUUGCUUCCCCGGGCGUCGACCGGCGCACGGGUGAGUAACGCGUAUCCAACCUGCCUCUGACUGAGGGAUAACCCGUCGAAAGUCGGCCUAAUACCUCAUGGCAUCGUCUGCGGGCAUCCAACGACGAUUAAAGAUUUCAUCGGUCAGAGAUGGGGAUGCGUCUGAUUAGCUUGUUGGCGGGGUAACGGCCCACCAAGGCGACGAUCAGUAGGGGUUCUGAGAGGAAGGUCCCCCACAUUGGAACUGAGACACGGUCCAAACUCCUACGGGAGGCAGCAGUGAGGAAUAUUGGUCAAUGGGCGAGAGCCUGAACCAGCCAAGUAGCGUGCAGGAUGGCGGCCCUAUGGGUUGUAAACUGCUUUUAUGCGGGGAUAAAGUGAGGGACGUGUCCUUCAUUGCAGGUACCGCAUGAAUAAGGACCGGCUAAUUCCGUG
rnacentral:rRNA from 1 species